rnacentral:rRNA from 1 species
ACUUAACAGCUAGCAUAGUAAUUAAAUUUCAACAUAACAAUAUUAAUAACCCCUAAUAUUUGAUUUAUCUUAAUUAAACCAUUUUUCCUCCUAAGUACAGGCGAUAGAAAAGGAACUUAUUUUAUAGCUAUAGAAAAAGUACCGCAAGGGAACGCUGAAAAAGCAAAUGAAAAAACCCAGUAAAGUGAUAGAAAGCAGAGAUAACUACUCGUACCUUUUGCAUCAUGAUUUAGCAAGUCCGUAUUAAGCAAAAAGAACUAUAGUUUAAUCUCCCGAAAUUAAGUGAGCUACUCCAAGACAGCCUUAAAAAAUAGGGCAAACACAUCUCUGUAGCAAAAGAGUGUGAAGAGCUUCGAGUAGAGGUGAAAAAUCUAUCGAACUUAAUAAUAGCUGGUUGCCUAAAAAAAGAAUAGAAGUUCAGCCUUUAUUUUUCUUAAAUUUUUUCCUAUGGAUUAUACCAAAAAAUGAAAAACAAAGGAAAAUAAAGAGUUAUUCAAAGGAGGUACAGCUCCUAUGAAAUAAGAUACAACUUUACAAGAAGGAUAUUGAUCAUAAUAUUAUUAAGGUUAAUGUUUUAGUGGGCUUAAAGGCAGCCAUCUAGAAAAAUAGCGUUAAAGCUUAAACAUUUUUCUCACCAAUAAAUAAUGAAAAGUUCAUCAUAUUCCUCUAGAUUCAUUAGGCUAUUCUAUAUAAUAGAAGAAAUUAUGCUAAAAUGAGUAAUUAGAGGAACAUCUCUCCAAGCAUAAGUGUACUUCGGAACGGAAAACACCACCGAAAAUUAAUCGAACCCAAAAUAAGAGGGUAAUGAAACAAAAAAAGAUAACUAGAAAAUUCUUCAAAUUUUGCCGUUAAUCCUACACUGGCGUGCAUAUCACGGAAAGACUAAAAGAAAAAGAAGGAACUCGGCAAACAUUUUUUAAGCCUCGCCUGUUUACCAAAAACAUCGCCUCUUGAUUUAUUAAUUAUAAGAGGUCCCGCCUGCCCUGUGACUAAUGUUUAACGGCCGCGGUAUUUUGACCGUGCAAAGGUAGCGCAAUCAAUUGUCUUUUAAAUGAAGACCUGUAUGAAUGGCAUAACGAGGGCUUAACUGUCUCCUUUUUUCAGUCAAUGAAAUUGAUCUUCCCGUGCAGAAGCGGGAAUUAUAACAUAAGACGAGAAGACCCUAUGGAGCUUAUAAACGCAAGAGUAGAUCACACUAAUUAAUCUAUUAUAACUAGAUUUACUAAACCAACUGAAAUCCUGCUCUAAUGUUUUUGGUUGGGGCGACCACGGAGUAGAAUUUAACCUCCACGCAGAACGAAAAUACUUAUUUUUCGAUUCAAGGAAAACAAUCCUAGAACCCAGAACUUCUGACUUUUAUUGAUCCGGCUAAAGCCGAUUUACGAACCAAGUUACCCUAGGGAUAACAGCGCAAUCCUCUUUUAGAGUCCCUAUCGACAAGAGGGUUUACGACCUCGAUGUUGGACCAGGACAUCCUAUUGGUGUAGCCGCUAUUAAGGGUUCGUUUGUUCAACGAUUAAAGUCCUACGUGAUCUGAGUUCAGACCGGAGCAAUCCAGGUCAGUUUCUAUCUAUGAUAUGAUCUUUUUUAGUACGAAAGGACCGAGAAGAAAAGGCCUCUACUCAAAGCAAGCCUUCCUCCUAUUUAAUGUAAACAACUAAAUUAAAUAAAGAGGCAUAAGUCUUUUCAAGCUAAGAUAAU